rnacentral:rRNA from 1 species
CCUACGGGAGGCUGCAGUGGGGAAUAUUGGACAAUGGGGGGAACCCUGAUCCAGCCAUGCCGCGUGUGUGAAGAAGGCCCUCGGGUUGUAAAGCACUUUCAGUGAGGAAGAACGCCUGGUGGUUAAUACCCAUCAGGAAAGACAUCACUCACAGAAGAAGCACCGGCUAACUCCGUGCCAGCAGCCGCGGUAAUACGGAGGGUGCGAGCGUUAAUCGGAAUUACUGGGCGUAAAGCGCGCGUAGGUGGCUUGAUAAGCCGGUUGUGAAAGCCACGGGCUCAACCUGGGAACGGCAUCCGGAACUGUCAAGCUAGAGUGCAGGAGAGGAAGGUAGAAUUCCCGGUGUAGCGGUGAAAUGCGUAGAGAUCGGGAGGAAUACCAGUGGCGAAGGCGGCCUUCUGGACUGACACUGACACUGAGGUCCGAAAGCGUGGGUAGCAAACAGGAUUAGAUACCCGAGUAGUC